CGUACACUCCUGCGGGAGGCAGCAGUGGGGAAUAUUGGACAAUGGGCGCAAGCCUGAUCCAGCCAUGCCGCGUGAGUGAUGAAGGCCCUAGGGUUGUAAAGCUCUUUCACCGGUGAAGAUAAUGACGGUAACCGGAGAAGAAGCCCCGGCUAACUUCGUGCCAGCAGCCGCGGUAAUACGAAGGGGGCUAGCGUUGUUCGGAUUUACUGGGCGUAAAGCGCACGUAGGCGGACUAUUAAGUCAGGGGUGAAAUCCCGGGGCUCAACCCCGGAACUGCCUUUGAUACUGGUAGUCUUGAGUUCGAGAGAGGUGAGUGGAAUUCCGAGUGUAGAGGUGAAAUUCGUAGAUAUUCGGAGGAACACCAGUGGCGAAGGCGGCUCACUGGCUCGAUACUGACGCUGAGGUGCGAAAGCGUGGGGAGCAAACAGGAUUAGAUACCCGUGUAGUCCUA
rnacentral:rRNA from 1 species